AAAGCUCAGUGGUGGAGCACCUGCCUGGCAUGCAGAAGGCCCCAGAUUCAGUCCCUGCCAUCUCUG